AUGGGUUCCCACCUCCCAACUGGGAUCACCAGAUCCACACCUCCCAACUGGGACCACUGGGUUCCCAUCUCCCAACUGGUACCACAUCACAUCACUGGUUUCUCAUCUCCCAUCUGGGAUCAAUGCGUUCCUACCUCCCAGCUGGGACCACUGCUUUCCCACCUCCCAUCUGGGAUCACUGAAUCCCCAUCUCCCAUCUGGGAUCACCAGAUCCACACCUCCCAGCUGGGACCACUGGGUUCCCAUCUCCCAGUUGGGAUCACUGCUUUCCCACCUCCCAUCUGGGAUCACUGGAUCCACACCUCCCAUCUGGGAUCACCAGAUCCACACCUCCCAGCUGUGACCACUGCUUUCCCACCUCCCAUCUGGGAUCCCCGGAUCCCCUCCUGCAUCCCACAGCACCGCGUUUCCCCCCCCAUCCCUGCCGCGACGGGCCGGGAUCAAACGGAUCCCAACGGCUCCGCGCAUCCCUGCCGCGCGGGCGGCCCCUCCUUCCCACCCGUGGGGUCCCGGGGGUCCCGGGUCCCGCCGUACCGGCAGCGCCAUGCUGGAGAAGUGCAGGUUGGCGGAGGAGCGCAGCGCCAGGCGGGCGUUGUACGCGUUCUCCUUUCGGUUCUGCAGCACCGCCUCCACCCGCACCUUCCGGCGGCCGCCCCGCACCACGCCGGCACCGCCGCUGCGGGGACAACGCGGCUGCGUGACGGAAUGCGGGGACACCGCGGGGACAUCGUGGGGACACCACGGGGACACCGCGGGGACACUUUGCGGACACCUCGGGGACACUUUGGGGAUACAUUGGGGACACUUUGGGGAUAUCUCGGGGAUACUUUGGGGAUACAUUGGGGACACUUCGGGGACACCUCGGGGACACUCUGGGGACACAAUGGGGACAAGUUGGGGACACGCUGGGGACACUUUGGGGACACCGCGGGGACACGCUGGGGACACGCUGGGGACACGCUGGGGACACUUUGGGGACACUUUAGGGACACUGUGUGGGCACUUUGGGGACAUGCUGGAGAUACAUUGGCGACACACUGA
rnacentral:lncRNA from 1 species